UGCAGUCUCAGUACAUGCCGCACUAAGGUGAAACCGCAAAAGGCUCAUUAAAUCAGUUAUGGUUCCUUGGAUCUUAAACAGUUACUUGGAUAACUGUGGUAAUUCUAGAGCUAAUACAUGCAAACAAGUCCCGACCAGAGAUGGGAGGGACGCUUUUAUUAGAUCAAAACCGAUCGGCGUCCGGUUUCGGCCGGCGCCGUCUCUUUUGGUGACUCUGGAUAACUUUUAGCCGAUCGCACGGUCACAGUACCGGCGACGCAUCUUUCAAAUGUCUGACUUAUCAACUGUCGAUGGUAGCCUCUGCGACUACCAUGGUUGUAACGGGUAACGGGGAAUCAGGGUUCGAUUCCGGAGAGGGAGCCUGAGAAACGGCUACCACAUCCAAGGAAGGCAGCAGGCGCGCAAAUUACCCACUCCCGGCACGGGGAGGUAGUGACGAAAAAUAACGAUACGGGACUCAUCCGAGGCCCCGUAAUCGGAAUGAGUACACUUUAAAUACUUUAACGAGUACCAAUUGGAGGGCAAGUCUGGUGCCAGCAGCCGCGGUAAUUCCAGCUCCAAUAGCGUAUAUUAAAGUUGUUGCGGUUAAAAAGCUCGUAGUUGGAUCUGUGUGCCACGCUGUCGGUUCACCGCCUGUCGGUGUCAACUGGCAUGUCUGUGGGACGUCCUGCCGGUGGCGGUACGGGCUGCCGGCGCUGCGUAGGGGCUCGCCCCCGAAGCACGCCGGCGUGUCCCGGUCCGCCGAUCCAAUCCCGCCGCGGUGCUCUUCACUGAGUGUCGAGGUGGGCCGGCACGUUUACUUUGAACAAAUUAGAGUGCUCAAAUCAGGUCGUAUUUAGGCCUGUAUACUGUGUGCAUGGAAUAAUGGAAUAGGACCUCGGUUCUAUUUUGUUGGUUUUUUGGAAUCAGAGGUAAUGAUUAAUAGGGACAGUCGGGGGGCAUUCGUAUUGCGACGUUAGAGGUGAAAUUCUUGG
rnacentral:rRNA from 1 species